rnacentral:rRNA from 1 species
UAAUUGAAGAGUUUGAUCAUGGCUCAGAUUGAACGCUGGCGGCAGGCUUAACACAUGCAAGUCGAACGGUAACAGAAGAAAGCUUGCUUUCUUGCUGACGAGUGGCGGACGGGUGAGUAAUGCUUGGGAAUCUGCCUUGUGGAGGGGGAUAACUACGGGAAACUGUAGCUAAUACCGCGUAAUAUCGAAAGAUUAAAGUAUGG